CCUACGGGAGGCAGCAGUGGGGAAUAUUGCGCAAUGGGCGAAAGCCUGACGCAGCGACGCCGCGUGAGGGAUGAAGGUCUUCGGAUUGUAAACCCCUUUCAGCAGGGAAGAACGGUCACUGUGCUAUUCACCAGUGAAUUGACGGUACCUGCAAAGGAAGCACCGGCUAACUCCGUGCCAGCAGCCGCGGUAAUACGGAGGGUGCGAGCGGUAAUCGGAAUUACUGGGCGUAAAGCGCUCGUAGGCGGUAUGUCAAGUCAAGGGUGAAAUCCCCGCGCUCAACGUGGGAACUGCCUUUGAAACUGGCAGGCUGGAGUGGGUGAGAGGUAAGUGGAAGUCCAGGUGUAGGGGUGA
rnacentral:rRNA from 1 species